rnacentral:rRNA from 1 species
UACAGAGGGGGCAAGCGUUGUUCGGAAUUACUGGGCGUAAAGGGCGCGUAGGCGGCCUUCUAAGUCGAACGUGAAAUCCCUGGGCUCAACCCAGGAACUGCGUCCGAUACUGGAAGGCUUGAAUCCGGGAGAGGGAUGCGGAAUUCCGGGUGUAGCAGUGAAAUGCGUAGAGAUCGGGAGGAACAUCAGUUGCGAAGGCGGCUCUCUGGACCAGCACUGACACUGAGGCACGAAAGCGUGGGGAGCAAACAGG